UACGUAGGGUGCAAGCGUUAAUCGGAAUUACUGGGCGUAAAGCGUGCGCAGGCGGUUCGCUAAGACAGAUGUGAAAUCCCCGGGCUUAACCUGGGAAUUGCGUUGGAGACUGCAAGGCUAGAAUCUGGCAGAGGGGGGUAGAAUUCCACGUGUAGCAGUGAAAUGCGUAGAGAUGUGGAGGAACACCGAUGGCGAAGGCAGCCCCCUGGGUCAAGAUUGACGCUCAUGCACGAAAGCGUGGGGAGCAAACAGG
rnacentral:rRNA from 1 species